CUGCUGCUCCUCCUCCUAUUCCUUGCUUGUUCCUCCGACCGUCGUCGUCGUCGCCAUUGUAUUGCACCAGCAGCACAUGCACAGCUAGCGCGCACUGCCGGGACCGGGACGGGGACAGCACCCCCUUGGAACCAGCCGUGCCUCGUGGGGGGCCGGCGCCCUUUCAAUUCCCCUUCGUCCUCCUCCUGCUGUGUGCCCUGCCCAUUCAACUCGCCGGCCCCCAUCCAUUCAUAUAGCUUGCUUUCUUGCUUCCAGCUACCUCUCCUCUUCCUCCCCCUCCUCCAUACAUACCGACCUUUCUACCUUCACUUCCGGAUCUCCCCUCCUCCCUGCACCACAUCUCGUACCCCCAAAAAGCUGAGAGGUAGGCCGGGAGCGAGCUGAGACACAUAGAUACAGGAGGUGGUAGAACCAUCAAGAUGCAAGCGAGGUCAAGGCGGAUAAGCUAGCUAGCUGGAGAUACACAUACUCUACUAUACUCCAUAAUAUGGAUAGAUCAGGAAGCCUUUCGUCUUUGAGGGGAAUGUUGUCUGGCUCGGGGCCGCCGCCGCCGCUCCUUCCUUCUCUAGUCUCUCUUCUCUCCUAGCAGCUACUCUUCGCUUCCUACUCCUAUCUCGAUCCCUCUCUUCUUCUUCUUCUUCUUCUUCCUCUUCCCCCCUCUCUUGGAUCGAGACCGAGCGGACGGAGACGAGUGGUGUAGAUCUCGGACCAGGCUUCAUUCCCCCCAAAAUGAAGGGCUCCCCAUGAUCUUGAUCUGCGCGGGCCUCCACCUCCAUCAGAUGAGCUCCAUCCGCUGGUCAAGCUGGGGGUACGUACAUGCAAAUCUGAACCGGGUAAGCUAAUAUAGCUGAUUUGCUGAAUA